rnacentral:rRNA from 1 species
UGGGGAAUAUUGGACAAUGGGCGCAAGCCUGAUCCAGCCAUGCCGCGUGUGUGAAGAAGGCCUUUUGGUUGUAAAGCACUUUAAGCGAGGAGGAGGCUACUUGGAUUAAUACUCUAGGAUAGUGGACGUUACUCGCAGAAUAAGCACCGGCUAACUCUGUGCCAGCAGCGGCGGUAAUACAGAGGGUGCGAGCGUUAAUCGGAUUUACUGGGCGUAAAGCGUGCGUAGGCGGCUUCUUAAGUCGGAUGUGAAAUCCCUGAGCUUAACUUAGGAAUUGCAUUCGAUACUGGGAAGAUAGAGAAGGGAAGAGGAUGGUAGAAUUCCAGGUGUAGCGGUGAAAUGCGUAGAGAUCUGGAGGAAUACCGAUGGCGAAGGCAGCCAUCUGGCCGAAUACUGACGCUGAGGUACGAAAGCAUGGGGAGCAAACAGG